AUUGAACGCUGGCGGCAUGCUUUACACAUGCAAGUCGAACGGCAGCGCGGGCUUCGGCCUGGCGGCGAGUGGCGAACGGGUGAGUAAUGCAUCGGAACGUGCCCAGUAGUGGGGGAUAGCCCGGCGAAAGCCGGAUUAAUACCGCAUACGACCUGAGGGUGAAAGCGGGGGACCGAAAGGCCUCGCGCUAUUGGAGCGGCCGAUGUCGGAUUAGCUAGUUGGUGGGGUAAAGGCUUACCAAGGCGACGAUCCGUAGCUGGUCUGAGAGGACGACCAGCCACACUGGGACUGAGACACGGCCCAGACUCCUACGGGAGGCAGCAGUGGGGAAUUUUGGACAAUGGGGGCAACCCUGAUCCAGCCAUGCCGCGUGCGGGAAGAAGGCCUUCGGGUUGUAAACCGCUUUUGUUCGGGAAGAAAUCCUCUGGGCUAAUACCCCGGGGGGAUGACGGUACCGGAAGAAGAAGCACCGGCGAACUACG
rnacentral:rRNA from 1 species